UUGUACAACAAUCGUAACAACAACCACAUAUAAAUUUGUUUUUGUACGUAAUCCAAGUGUCAGAGUUAUGUGUCCAAAAAUGUAAACAAAAUAAUUAAUUUUCAAUAAAUUAUUUUAAUUUCAAAAAUAUACAUUUUUGGAAUUUGGAUUAUUAAAUUGAAAAUGCAGAAGAAUAGUUCUUAAGAUAAUUAAUUUUACAGCCUGUUCCACGAUGUCGAAAGAACACGUUCGCACAACUUUUACACCACAAACAGCUGAUUUCCGUUCCACUAAAAUCCAUCAGAACGAAAAUUUGCACGAAAAUCAAAGCGAACGAAAACGUAAGCGUUUCAGUGUAAUUUUGCGUUCCACUAUCUUUUUUCUUUCGUACGCAUGCGAACACAAAUGUCAAAAUCAGUCACUUGUGUGUUUGCUGUCGAAUAAUAAAAAUUAAGGAAAAUUGUUUUAACAUAAACAUUCCUUGAUUGAAAAUGGAAAGAAAAAUCACGAAAAAACUACACAGCUGCGGGCACUAGUUGAGUAUAUGGGGGAGAAUCCUAAGUUCGCCAGAGGAGUGCCAAUUUUUGGAAGCAGCAAGCAAUCCCAUGAAGACCACUGGAAGACACAAACCUAGAAAAAAUCAUUUUUUUAUUAUUUUAAAAAUGUAAAAAUACAAUCAUACUUACUGGUUGUUAGGUACUUCAAAUAAAUUCGAAGCAUCUCUUAAAUGCCUCCGUGGCACAAUUUGAA